GUGCACACUUUGGCAGCAUGUAUACUAAAAUUGGAACGAAACAGAGAAGAUUAGCACGGCCCCUGUGCAAGGAUGACAUGCAAAUUCGUGAAGCAGUCCAUAUUUAA
rnacentral:snRNA from 1 species